rnacentral:rRNA from 1 species
GACGAACGCUGGCGGCGUGCUUAACACAUGCAAGUCGAACGGAAAGGCCCUGCUUUUGUGGGGUGCGCGAGUUGCGAACGGGGGAGUAACACGUGAGUAACCUGCCCCUGACUUUGGGAUAACUUAAUGAAACUGGGGCUAAUCCCGCAUAGGAGCUCCUGCUGCAUGGUGGGGGCUGGUAAGUUUCGGCGGUUGGUGAUGGAAUAGCGGCGUAUCAGCUUGUUGGUGGGGUAGUGUCUUACCAAGGCCUUGACGGGUAGCCGGCCUGGGAGGGUGACAGGCCACAUUGGAAUGGAGAUGAGGCCCAGACUCCUACGGGAGGCAGCAGUGGGGAAUAUUGCACAAUGGGAGGAGGCAAAGUGCAGUAACGCCGCGUGCGGGAUGACGGGCUUCGGGUUGGAAACCACUUUCGCUUGUGACGAAGCGUGAGUGACGGUAACGGGUAAAGAAGCACCGGCUAACUACGUG